CAGGCAACUUUUUUUUUUUUUUUUAAUAAUUAAAAGUCUCCUACAGACUUCAAAAGGUCCAAUGGAAAGAAUGACUACAAAACCAACAUUUUUUUCCAUGAGUUUAAGACAUUCCCCCUCACUUACAAAUGAGCUAUGUUUCCAAGAUAGACAGGCAUAAGAACUGUUGAAACAUUUGCUAUUUGUCACAACCGGGAGAUGUUGCAGAAACUGUCUCAAUUUAAAUAAAGGGAAUGUCUAAAAUUCAAUUAGAAAAAUUAACUACUCAAUAAGAAAUCUAUUAAAUGUAAUGUAACUACUUUGCAUUAUUGUAUCCUCUUCUAUUUUCAUAUUGCAGCAUUCGUUUUCCCAUAAACAUCCUUCCAUAGUAUGCAUUGAAAGUCUGUUUCCAAGCUCACUAUUUUACAUCACCAUGUUAGGUUCUUCACUUUGAAAGGAACAAUAAUCACAACCUGAAUAUGCAAGUGCGCUUGGCAUAAAUAUAUCUAAGAUUUAUUUUUUAAUUUAAGAAAUAUUGAUCUGAGGAGGAAUCGGGGCCAGUAUUAAAAUUACAGAACUUAUAAAUAUACCUUUAUUAUAAAAAAAGAAUGAAUUGUGCAAUUUCUACAUUCACUGAUUACAUCAGUGCCUUCAUACUGUCACUGAAACUACAAAUAGUCUUCUCCUUCUAGGUCUGGAUCUGAACUGAUGUAGGGAAGGCUCCAAAUGUAGGAGCAUCCACAAAAGCUAUGAAUUACAACAAAAACUUUGUCCAUACGUGUCAGUAAACCAGAACUAAAUCCCCUAACAUCUAAAUCUAAUCCGCCCAGCCAGAAUAUGCAGGGACAAUACAUUUCUGGCCUUUCCUGAUUUUGUUUCAUGAGUUACAGCUGCAUGCAAGUUAGCCUCUUAGAAAUGCCACACUAAGUCUAGAUAAAAGACAAAUCCAAAAUCAACCAGAUACCAUUAUUCUAGGGUACCAGUGUUCAGAAUAGGUCAGGCAAAGAGGAAAGAACAUUCCCUUGGCCAUUAAGAUGGGGAAAUUUCACCUUGCAUUCCGGAUAAACUAUAUUAUACAUGAACUAUUUACCUAAACUAUGGUAUAAUUUGUCAUUAAUGGCAAGCUAUCCCAAUAAUCAUGCUAUUAAACUAUUUGAUUGCAUGGAACUACUCUUCAUUAAUUAAGCUGUUAAAAUAUUUUAUCAUAGACACUUUGAAACAAAAAAAAAUUAAUUUUUAGCUAGUGAGAGCUUAGUCCAGGUGGUUGCCCUCUAAAGUUAACAUCACCAUCUGAGGUGUAAAACAUUCCUAAUUACCAUAAAGUACAUCCUGUGCUAAUUACUGUUUGCCUCCAAAUAGUGUGCCAUACCAAGCCCAGAGUUCACGAUGAUGGAUUUGCAUUUAAAUGUCAUGCAGUUCACUGUCCUCUAUCAAUAUGCCCCUGGUUAACAUACUGACAUAGCUACUGCAGCCACUGCCCUGCAGACUAGGGAAGCCACAACCUGCUAAAGGAAUACCAAAAUUAUAAAAAAAA